AUUCACUUUAGAGAUGAGGAAACUAAGGCUAACAGGGUUAAAUGACUCACACAGGUUCACAUAAUUAGUAAUAGACUCCUAAUUGACCUGCUUUUCUCAAAUAUCUCUCUUCUGAAUUCAUCUCCCACAGGAUUGGAAAUCAAAGAACCCUGGUUUGACUCUGCUCUGCUCCUCAUUUCCUGAGUGAUCUCCGGGUUACAAGUUCUUCAUCCGUAAACUAUGGAGGUUGGACUAGAUGGUAUCUAAGAUCCAAUACAAUUUUAAGUCCGAUAAUUCGAUGACUGUCUUACAGAAAUUUUAUUGGAUUCAUAUUAAAACUCUGACUACGAGGUGAAGAGUUUUCUUGGCUGAAGCCAUUGGAACAGUCACUUAGCUUCUCUGGGCCUCAGUUUUCUGAAGUACAAAAUAAAAGGGUUGGACUGUGUCUUCAGAAGUUCCUUCCAGCAUGAUAUCUACAAACACAAAUCCAUGAAACCACUUCCUAAACCAAGAAGAGGUCGUCCAUUGUGUUGGUGGCAAUCACACCACUGUCCUCACUAAUCUUUUGAUAAACCAGUAACAAUCUCAUCUCCUCAGGAUUUUCAAGACCUAGAAAAUGGGGAAGAGAAGUGAGAACAAUUUGGAAACAAAUCCAGAGGAUGGUAACCUUCAACCUUCACAGGAUGGAGAAGUUCAUUUUAAAGAUGAAGAAACCAAGGCAAACAGGAUGAAGUAACUUUCCCAGGGUCACACAACUAGUGUCUGCAUCCAAAUUUGAAUUCAGACCAGUGGAAUCACGCGUCGGCCACGGGGGGUGGGAGGGAGGAAAAGAAAAUGAUCUUUGUCUUUAAUGAAAAAUGCAUGGAAAUGAUCAAAUAAAAUACUAUAAAAUUAAAAAAAAAAACA
rnacentral:lncRNA from 1 species